UACGUAGGGUGCAAGCAUUGUCCGGAAUUAUUGGGCGUAAAGAGCUCGUAGGCGGUUCGUCACGUCGGCUGUGAAAUCCCGAGGCUCAACCUCGGGUCUGCAGUCGAUACGGGCGGACUUGAGUACUGCAGGGGAGACUGGAAUUCCUGGUGUAGCGGUGAAAUGCGCAGAUAUCAGGAGGAACACCGGUGGCGAAGGCGGGUCUCUGGGCAGUAACUGACGCUGAGGAGCGAAAGCGUGGGGAGCAAACAGG
rnacentral:rRNA from 1 species